rnacentral:sRNA from 1 species
CCUGGGUGUGGUGGCUCACGCCUGUAAUCCCAGUGGCUCUGGAGGCUGAGGCAGGAGGAUUGUGAGUUCAAAGCCAGCCUCAGCAAAAGUGAGGCUUUUGCAACUCAGUGAGACCCUGUCUCUA